UUUUAUGUGUGUUUUUUAGUUCCACCUGUUCUCAAAUUUACUAUUGUUACUUUUUGAGGCAUAGCUGCCAAGAAUGAGCUUGUCAUCCAAUCAGAAGGGCAGUGGCUCGAUUCUAUGCAAUCCUCGUGUUGAAGUGUCCUUGGGCUACUGAAUCUCAUAUUACCCCGAUGCAUCAGUUGGAGUGUGACUGUGUGCAUGACAGAGUGAGUGCUCAGCCACCGCUUAGAACAAGGAGCACAGAACUGACAUCCCAGCACAGGACAAGGGGAGACUGGGACCAUAAACACCCAACAGGAUGAUCAGGGAAGCGGAGGCAGCUGGGGAACAAAUCAGGGAUAUUGAGACAGGGGAAGCGAAACUGAACACAAUUCACAUGAGACAAGGGACUGACAAAAUAAAACAGGAAGUCACACACUGAGACUCAAACAAGGACACACAACCUUGACACCAGCAUGGGGAUAAAUGAACAUGAGAGCACACGACAGACUGGGGAGACAAAGUAAGAAGCUAGAGUAAAGAGCACUAUAUAAGAACCAGUUUGACAUUUAUUGAAGGGGAAUAUAAGAUACUGAGCCCAAAGUUGCUCAGAUCCAUCACACACAUCUAUCGCAGUAUGAAUGUGUGUGAAUGUUAAUGUUCACUAGCUGUUUUUUCUGCUUAGGCAUAGGAAAAUGCUUGUAUGAAUGGGUGAGUGAGGCAUGUUGUAGAAAGCACUUUGAGUAUUCCAAUGGAGUAUAGAAGUGCUAUAUAAAAACAAAUCCAUUUACCAUUCCUGGACCAACAAUGACUGUUUAUAAUUAAGAACACACAAAAUCCUUAUACACAUUUAAAUCUUCAUAUUUAGUUACAGCUCACAUAAUAUGCAUUUGUGACCAAUUUGACACUAAUUUGUUUCCAUACAGUUCCAGGGAACUCUAGUCCAACUUGUAACUCAUCAUUCAAUUUCUUUAGCACGAGAUGAUUUGGGGUAACUUUGUUAAGGUCAAAGUAUUUUUCUUGCAGCUUCUGCAAUGAGUUGAAUGUUCACAUGACCUCCAUGGCCCAGGACAUCUCCAAACCCCUCAAAAUGGAUGUGAAUUGCAUUUCCCACUCAGCACUUUAUUGUUAUGUCUAGCCCUUGAAAAGAUGACGACAGAAUGUAUUAGAACUUUUAUGCAAAAAUCCUAAUAAAAUACUUGCUCUGAUGGCGAGUUCACCAUAA